rnacentral:rRNA from 1 species
UACGAAGGGGGCUAGCGUUGCUCGGAAUCACUGGGCGUAAAGCGCACGUAGGCGGAUUGUUAAGUCAGGGGUGAAAUCCUGGAGCUCAACUCCAGAACUGCCUUUGAUACUGAGGAUCUUGAGUUCGGGAGAGGUGAGUGGAACUGCGAGUGUAGAGGUGAAAUUCGUAGAUAUUCGCAAGAACCCCAGUGGCGAAGGCGGCUCACUGGCCCGAUACUGACGCUGAGGCACGAAAGCGUGGGGAGCAAACAGG